UGGGGGAUAUUGCACAAUGGGCGAAAGCCUGAUGCAGCGACGCCGCGUGGGGGAUGAAGGCUUUCGGGUUGUAAACCUCUUUCGCUAUCGAACAAGGCCCGCUUAGGGUGGGUUGAGGGUAGGUGGAGAAGAAGCGCCGGCUAACUACGUGCCAGCAGCCGCGGUAAUACGUAGGGCGCGAGCGUUGUCCGGAAUUAUUGGGCGUAAAGGGCUUGUAGGCGGCUUGUUGCGCCUGCUGUGAAAACGCGGGGCUUAACUUCGCGCGUGCAGUGGGUACGGGCAGGCUUGAGUAUUGUAGGGGUGACUGGAAUUCCAGGUGUAGCGGUGGAAUGCGCAGAUAUCUGGAGGAACACCGAUGGCGAAGGCAGGUCACUGGGCCAUUACUGACGCUGAGGAGCGAAAGCAUGGGUAGCGAACAGG
rnacentral:rRNA from 1 species